AUGACCUCAAAUCAGAUGAGACUACCCGCUGAACUUAAGCAUAUCUCCGAGUUGUAAAUUGAAGAGAGUGUCAUCCACACUGGACCAUGUCUAAAUUGUAAUGAUCCACAGUCCUUUGAUGAG
rnacentral:rRNA from 1 species